rnacentral:rRNA from 1 species
GGGGGGGGGGGGGGGGGGGGCGGGGGGGGGCAGGGCGGGCGGGCGGGCGGGGGGCUUGCUCCGCUGACGUUCGCGGCGGAGGGGUGGGUCGCGCGUGGGUCACGUACCUCUCGGACUGGGAUGAGUUCGGGAAACCGGAGCUAAACCCGGAUACGAUAUUGACACGCCUUGUUCCCUCGUGCGCGACGGUGUUGAGGUCCCUUCUCGCUGGAUCCGCGCCGCCUUAGAUAGUUGGUCAGGUAACUGAUUACCAAGGCGACGAUGCGUCGCCGACCUGGGAGGGUGAGCGGCCACACUGGAACUGAGACACGGUCCAGACUCCUACGGGAGGCAGCAGUAGGGAAUCUUCCGCAAUGGGCGAAAGCCUGACGGAGCAACGCCGCGUGAGUGAUGAAGGUCUUCGGAUCGUAAAACUCUGUUAUUAGGGAAGAACAAAUGUGUAAUUAACGAUGCACGUCUUGACGGUACCUAAUCAGAAAGCCACGGCUAACUACGUG